ACCAUCAUUCUGGCAUGCAUAUCUUUCCUGCUGCUCUUCUAAAUUACCACGGACAUGAAAAAUGUCUCAAUCCUUCUUUUUUGUUUGCUCUGCUCCUCCAGAAUUGGAUUUGAGGUGUUAUCUUAAAGUAGUUUGGAAGGGAAUGCUGGAUUUUCUGAUUUGCUGACCAUGUUCUAUAAUUUUUACUGUAUUUUCCUGAGUACACAAAGGCAACAUUCUUUUAAAAAUUAUGAAGAAACAAAGAAAAGACAUUUAAAUGCAAUAUUGGGAAGCUGUAAAGUGAUUUGUUUGAGGUUUUAAUAAAGAUAUGAAAAUGAUGAAAACAAAACAAAACAACAAGUAUCAAAGAAAUUCAGAUUUAUUCAAGAGAAGGCCAGAACUUAAGUGAAAGAUCUUCAGACCUGAAAAUGAUGGAAGUGUGAAAUUUGAGCCUUGGAAAGUUAAAUAAUCAUAAAAAGUAAGAUUUAAACUCUCAUCUUUUUACAUCAGAGUCAGCCUCUUUUUAACUCCUUGAUCUCAUAUUCUAAAUGUGCAUUUCAAUUUGACUCAUAAAAUUUUACCUUCCUCU